CAGGCAUGGAUGCUGAACUGCUGGGAAGGGAGCUCAGGCUUUUUCUUUUUAGUCCCCAAGAGAAGAAUUCUUUCUCAGAUGUUUUUGUGGUUGGAGAAUAUUUUUGCCAUUGCUUUGAGAAGACUUCCCCUCCUAACUCCCCCUCUUUCCUUGGAAUUUCCUUCCUUAAAUGGAAAGCCUUCAACAUUCACUCCAAGCUCGCCCUUUUGCUCCCCCCAGGAAAAAUAACAAGCAAACAGAGGGUUGAGUUCCAGAAUAAAUUCUACAGCGGGACCGGUUUCAAGUUCUUACCCUUCUCCUUCGAGCAUAUUCGGGAAGGGAAGUUUGAAGAGUGAGUCCCUGUGAGGGCCGUGUGCCCCAUGCUACCCUCCCCGCCUCCCUCCACAGUGAUCAGCUGUGCCUCUCUGCCUGUUGGUUGUGAUCUUGGGCACCAGCUCAUUCGUGUCACCCUGUCUGUGAGUCAUUUAGAUAGAAUAGUCCUCCUUGGGUCUCCCACCACCCCUAGCUUUGUGUGUAGUGUAGUGAUUUUCUGGCUGUCACUCAAACUCACUGGGCACCAGCCUUGCCCUCUUAGCCUCCAUCCAUCCAGACAGCCCUUCCCACCUCCUGGUGGUGAGCCAGUCUGCAUUCCCACGCCAUCCCAAAGCCCUUUCAUCUUCCCUGUGCAUUGUAGAUGGAAGGAGCACCCAUGCCAUUCACAUCUAGACUUUGAGUUCCCUGCAUCUGCCACCGUAGUUUCUAGCAGGAGUAGUGGGGGGAGUAAUACGGAUUCUUCCCUAGAAGGGGACACUGGUAACAUGUCCCACUCUUGGAUUAGCAGGGGUGGGUCCAGGAAGAUGAUAUUUGCGUCUUUUGCCCACCCCCCUCUCGUGCUUGUUAAUCAGGCAUUCAGCUGGACCCAACUAGGCCAUCAUGAGUGGCUUCUCCCUGUCAUCCCCAGGGGUCAUAGGAUAUCUACACCUCCUUUCUGACCCCACCCUGCACUCCCAUCCUUUCCUCUCUCCCCGUUCAUGCCC
rnacentral:sRNA from 1 species